rnacentral:rRNA from 1 species
GAUGAACGCUGGCGGCGUGCCUAAUACAUGCAAGUCGAGCGAACGGACGAGAAGCUUGCUUCUCUGAUGUUAGCGGCGGACGGGUGAGUAACACGUGGAUAACCUACCUAUAAGACUGGGAUAACUUCGGGAAACCGGAGCUAAUACCGGAUAAUAUUUUGAACCGCAUGGUUCAAAAGUGAAAGACGGUCUUGCUGUCACUUAUAGAUGGAUCCGCGCUGCAUUAGCUAGUUGGUAAGGUAACGGCUUACCAAGGCAACGAUGCAUAGCCGACCUGAGAGGGUGAUCGGCCACACGGGAACUGAGACACGGUCCAGACUCCUACGGGAGGCAGCAGUAGGGAAUCUUCCGCAAUGGGCGAAAGCCUGACGGAGCAACGCCGCGUGAGUGAUGAAGGUCUUCGGAUCGUAAAACUCUGUUAUUAGGGAAGAACAAAUGUGUAAGUAACUAUGCACGUCUUGACGGUACCUAAUCAGAAAGCCACGGCUAACUACGUG